rnacentral:lncRNA from 1 species
UUAGAUAAUAAGGUAAACAAAAUAAUUUAGAAUAUUGUCUUUUUUUUCUUUUUUUAUCGUGUUUAAACGGUGUUGAUUUUUACCAUACAGAUAAAAUAAUAAUUUUAUUCUUAUGACAUAAUAAAGUUAUAAUAACAUUUAAACGAAAGUAGAAAAAUAUAAGAAAAUAUAAUUUAAGGUGAAAAUCAGUCAAAAACAAUUACGUGUAUUUUUAAAAAAACAAAAAAAAAAGAUCGGUGGAUAUAAUUUCCCUUAUUAAAAUUUAUAUUAAUAUGUUAACGGGCUUCACAAGAUAUCUAUUGUUUUGUCGUAUGGCGUUGCUGGGUUGAUGAGACAGCUCGACAUAACUUUUUUCAGAUUAAAUAGUAUUGUGGGAUCCACCUGUGAAGGAGUUGGGUUGGUUUAGAAUAGAGGAAAUGGGAAUACAUCACAUGUGGGGGGGCCCGCACCAAGAGUGGAUUGGUCGUUUAAGACAACUUCGAUGAAUUGAAAAAUCUUGAUGCCGGAGAGUGGAAACGUACAAGCACUGUGUCGAUUGUCCGCCACAAGUACCGUGAUUGUCGGCAGGCUUCAAUUUUUUUUAUCGGUUUGUUAUUGUAUUUUAUUUUUAUUGCCGAACAAAAUAAAAUUACUGCCGUGCAUGGCCCCAAUUAUAUGUGUCUUUCUGAAUUUAAUUAUUAUUUUUAUAUUUAUUAUGUUGUAAAAAGGUUUCUACAUUUUGGAAUUAGGAUUCUUUUUGGAAUUAGGAUUCUUGUCCGAUUACGGUUGGUCAAGGUUAUCAUGUCAUAAAGUCUGAAGCCUGAACAUUAUCAUACGGUUAACAGUUAAUAAAAUUUGAGUGCUCAGUGUGAAAUAUCUUCCUCAUAAAAUAUCGUAGUCGCAAUUUUUUUUAUAUGGUAUAGAUCGAAAUAAUUUAUGUUUGAUAAAUUGAGAUAAUGUUAGUAAAUGUUAUAUGUGUAUAAGGAAUGAUGAAAAUGAUGUUAUAUGUUAUAUUUUUUUGGUAUUAUUUAUUAGUUGGUCGAUUUGAAUAUUAAUAAAUAUCGAACUUUUUCUACUCUAUUUAAUAAAUAGUAUAAAAUAUCAUGCAGUAAAAGUCACUAUUAUACAAAGUUAACGAUGAAGUAGAUGGUAAGAAUACUCUUUUAAUAACCAUCUACUUAAUUGUAGAAGAUAAAUGUCCCUUCAAUAUUGAGAAUAUGAGCUAACUAUUUAUUUAUUUAUUUUUAAUAUUGGUUACGCAGCAUCAAAUUACUGUAUUGCACAGAUAUUUAUAAUUAUUAUUAUAACAGACAUUACACUGAUAUUUACAAUCAAAUAUAUAUUAUUAGAACUUACAUUAUUAAAUUAACUUUUAUAAAAUAUAUGUCCAGAUAAAAUAACCCUCACAAAGGAGAGAUGUCCUACUCCAUUUGUAUUUCUUAAGAAAGAAGAGUUUAUAAAUAUUUUAUUUUCAACCGUUGUCUACUCGUCUAAUUAAUUACUAUUUACCUUUGUAUUCAUUCAUUAAUUACAUGUCAAAUCUAAAUGAUUUGCAAGUUAUAUGACAAAAACAAAACUAUUAUACCUUUGAAAAAAAUAUAUUUUAUAUGAUAUUUAAAAAUAUUAAAAUUAUUUCAAUAAUUAACCUAAUCUCUAAGAAAAUAAAGAGAAAAUUACAUAAAGUAUACGAUUUGGCCGAAUAAGAGCAUGUGACAAGACACCAAAAAUUUUUUAAUUUCGUCAUGUCAACUGGCAAAUAAUUCACGGGCCUAAAACUGUUGCUUCCAAGGGACAAACGUAUCUUGAAAACGUUGAUGGGGAAAGGGGGAAUGGAUACGGAAGGGAAACGCCAUUUAUUUAGUGCCAACACACCAAAAUUAAAAAAAUAUUUGCUCAAAAUAUCACUAAAAAGUUAAGGGCAUCUUGUUAGCUGGAUUGGCAAAUGUUCUAAUGAUUGUGCUAGGCCGAAUCAUAAAUGGGACCAUAUGAAGCCUUUGAUUCAUUGAGGACAAAAGUUCAAUUUGUUUUCUUAUCUUUGUGAAUUGUGAUUCUUUUAACUGUCUAAUAAAUUAUGCAUUUCCAAAACCAAAAAGAGUGAGAGAGAUAAAAUAGUGGGUAAGAAAGGCCUAUAGUACGUUAAUGGAAGAUGUUCAAUUCCAACAUAAUUAUUGAUGUAAGAUUAUUAUUUUUAUGUAGCAUUUAAGACAUUCUAUUGGGAUGUUGAAAAUUUUUUUUUAAAAAAAAGAAAAAAAAUCUUUUUUUUUAAUCUAAACUCUCAUGAAAUUUUAAAAAUCUUGUAAUAUGUGUCUUUAAGUGAUAGUGUAUGGAUAUAAUUUAACUUCUUUAUUUUCUUUAUUUUAUUAACUACCAAUCACCACAUGCAUGUUUGUUCAGGAGGAGAUCAAAUCAGAUCAGAAGAAAAUCCUGAUAAAAAAAAAGGUUAUAUUAUUGGAGAGUGAUAUGCGAAUACGAUGGUUCGACCAAUCAUCGUCUACCUUAACAAAUGAGGUUUAUAAGUGAAUCAUAAAUAAUUUAAUUAAUUUGUUAUUUUUGUUGUUUUUAAUGAGAUCAUAUUUUUCGUGAGAGAAAUGGCAUAGCACAUCAUUUGGCAAAUUUGGGGUUGCAAUUAAAUAGUUUUAUAAAUUAUUUUCGAUGCUUCUUAUAUUUAUAAUGAUUUUAUCUAUUUCAUCCAAAGUCCAAAGGUUAAUAUUUUUAAAUGGGUUCACAUUUAUGUCGCCCCAAUAUGACUCCUUAUAUUAUAAAAUUUAUCAUGGUAGUAAGAUUUGAGGUUAAAAUAUAAUUUAUGGAUAUUUUCUAAGAUUUUCAUUAUUGUGCUGCAAUUGACAUUAUCUUGUUCAAAAGAUAUUAUUAUACCUGUUGGGCUGUAAUGUUUGUGGUUAAGUGACCAUAGCAUGUAGUGAGGAAUCUAUUACGAAACAUGCAAGUACACAUUAAUUUAUCAUGUGAUUAUUUAUUUUAACAUUCUAAAGAAAAUGGAAUAAUUGUCAACUAGUUAAAGUUAUUAAGCUUAUCUCUUUACAGGUUUAUGCAGUAUAGAUUCUCAUAAAAUCGCAAGUGAUCUCUCCACAGUAAAAAAAUCUAAUGAAAAUUUAUGAUAAGUUUUCGUCAUAAUUCUAGAUAGGUCUAAUCUUACAACAACCAAAUGGAUUUGUGGGUGCCAUUGGUUUAACUUUUAAAGUCUUUUAGGAUAAUUCAUGCCGUUCAAAUCUCGCACAUUAAGGUUGUAGAAGGGCUUAAUUUAUAUUUAAGAAAAGAAAAAAGAAUUAAAGUAUCAUUUAUGAUUAUUCUUGUUUUGUGUAGCCAUAAUUUGUGUAAUAUAGAUUCUCAUAAAAUUACAAGUAAUCUCUCUCCCAUUAAAAAAAAAAAAUCUAAUUAGGUCUAAUCUUCCAACAACUAAAUGAAUUUAUGGGUUCCAUUGGUUUAACUUGUAUAGUCUUUUAGGACAAUUCACGAGAUAUGCUGUUCAAACAUCUCACAUUAAGAUUGUAGAAGGGCUUAAUUUAUAUUUAAGAAAAGAAAAAAUAAAGUAUCGUCUAUGAUUAUUCAAAUCUUGUGUAACCAUAAUCUCCAAACAAAAAUUUCAUCUCAAUUUUUUAAGAAUGUAACAUUUGUUAAUUACAUGACUAGUAAUUACUAUCCCAUUCAAUUGAUGAAUUUUUCAUUACUUAAAAUGAAAUAAUUUAAAUUAUAAUUUUAAAAACAUUGUAUGUUACUCAUCCUUAGAACAACCAUUGAGAAACUUGAAUUUCUUAAACAUGAAUCUAGAAGUUGAUAUAGUGCAAAAGAUAUGUCUGCCUAUAUGAUUAAUGUCAAUAAUAUUCACCCCACCAUUAAAUUUAAAUCCUACAUGAACUCUAUAACAUUGAAUCAAGUUUUUUUUUUUUAAAUUUAUUUUGACCUGAGUGGGGUUGAGAUGAGAUUUAAUGGUGAGUGUCAUUUUCUACAGAUCUUCCACAUUCGUGCCACUGAAAAUGUUAAGUCAACGGUGAAGUAAUAUGAAAAAAAUUAAAAAGUAGGUGAGCUUCUUGAAGACUGUUUAUUAUGACUUUAGCCACACUUGAAAGCAAAUGGUCCACACCACAUGUUAUGCCUUCAAUCAAGCCCUAAUAUUAGAAUGUUUUGCUUUAACUUGUCAUAGUUUUGUUACACACCUUUUGUCCAGCAAAACAAAUUGCUUAUUGCUUAAACCAACAAUCAAAUAGUCAAAACACAUGAAGUCUCUUAAAAGUAUUGUGGAAUUCAAUUACGGAGAACAUCACCAUACCCUACUUUUCAUGGACAGAAUAUAUAUAUAUAUAUAUAUAUACACACACACACACACAGAGUUUAAAUAAGUUGAAUUAUUUUGCAUUUUGCUGUAUAAGUCAAAUAGUUUGUACUCUUCUUAAAUCAUUUUCAGAAGAUGAUUUGAUUUUUGGUCUAUUAAUUUCAUUGACUCGAGGUACUGUUUUUACACUGCCCAAAAGGGAUUCUAGAGUGAUUGGAAUUUUUUCUUUUUAAAAUGUUUGACUGAAGCAUGCAUACUAAAAUUGAUUUUGGGAUUGGAUGAGAAUCGAACUUGAAAUGUGAUUCUCAUUGACCAUAAUAAAAAUGCACUUCUUGCACACUUGAUGAUAUUUUAGCUUAACUGUUACUCAACAAGAAGUUAUAAUGGAAACUAUAAGAUACAAAUUUGAAAAAAAAAGAAGCCAUUCCUUGGUCAAAAGUUGGAGAUCAAUUAAUUUUUUAUUUGAAGACGAAAGUUGGACAUUAACCUUUUUUUUAUUCUUUUUUGUAUAAAUAAAUUCUCAAGUAUCAUUGAAGAGGGGAAAAAAAACAACCUCUUUGCCGAACUCUAUAUAUAUUGUUCUUUUUUUUUUUUAAAUAAAUAAAUGUGAAUUAACCCGUUUAGAUUGUCCGUUAUUGUAAUUUAAAUCAAGGAUAUAAUUGUAAAUAUGAAAGUGGGUCGCAAAAAGUUAAUGAAGGGUAUUAAAUAGCACCUUUUUUUUGGUAAGGGUUUUGGGCCUCAAAAUUUAAUUGGGUUGACUAAGUUGUUGGGUCAUUAUAACUUCACCCGCCGAAAAGUGAAAAUUGGGUGGUGAUAUUUUCUGUAAUCACAUCCAACUGUUAAAUAUUCACGUGGUAAUUUACUAAUUACGUACGAGUUUUGAUUAAAAUCUCUUAUUUACACAUUAAAACUAGAAUUUAUUUAUUUACUUUUUUUUUUUACGUGAUGACUAUUACUUUGUUAUGAGAGGAAAUGAGAUUUUUGUAUUUAAAUAGAGUUUUAUUUACUUAGUAAGUGCUAAAAUGUGUUUUUCUCUAAAGGAGAUAAUUAAGAGUUUUGAUAAAAAAAAUUAAAACGAAGGACUUUAAAAAAUAUCUCUAUUGAGUAUUGACUAAGGUUUAGGCCCUUAUGGCUUCCUAAGCCUAUUUGAGCUUUGUUUUCGAUUAGCCCAACCUUUUUCCUCUUUAUUUUUCAUUUGCGGUGUUAUUAACAUCCCGCUUAUUACUCUAAUUAAGCUCCAUUAGAAAAAUAGUAACAAACGAUUCUAAAUAAACCCCAUUAAAAAUAAAAAUCAAGGAAAAAAUUAAAUCUGAUUAAACCGUUUUUUAUUUCUAUCUGUACAAGCUCCUUGCACCCCCCACAUUGCCACGACAACGAAUUACACAUUUGUUUUCCUCUCAAACACCUGCAUUCUCAUCAAUCCAAUUCUACUAAUGUAUUUAUAUUAAAGUUUUUACUUUGUCAAAUCUCCUAGAUCGGAGAGAAUAAUGAGAGCGAGAGAGAGAGAGAGAGAGAGUCAUUGUCUUGAACAUUAAAUAUAUUAUUUUCUCCCUUUCUUUUCAUUUGUUUAGAGAUUAGCUAUUUUUUUCUAUUUUUCAAUUCUAACUAAUUCAAGUAUAUUUGGUUUAAUCAAUGAUUGACAUUCAAACCCCACAAGAUAAGACUCUAUUAUUGACUAAACUCAAACCGUACGGCCUUAGGGCCUAUUUAGUACAGUAGUUAGAUACUGUAAAUUUUUACACUACAGUAUCAAAAUAUUUGGUAAACACUUGCUUCUGUUUCUUGAAAGCAAAGUUUGUUAACAUAUAUGUAUCCAUAAUAUUGAUUUUGAUGAUAACAAACAAGAUUAAGAAUGGUUAAAUUUUUAAAAGAUCAAAUUAUUUUUCAUACAUUUUAAAUAAAUCAUUAUUUUCAUAAUAUAAAGGUUUUGUAUUUAAUGGAAAAACCAUUUUAUGAAAUUGGUUAUUUUCAAGUUAAUGGUCUAAAUUGAAAAAGUUUUGAAACUCUGAAAAUGAACUUAUUUGUAAAGUUUUACGAAGAUUUAGGCUAUAGUAUAAUUAUAUAAAGUUGUGGGCAAAAUUAUAAUUUUAAAAAAUAGUUUCACUGUAGUAAACGGCUAACCAUUUACUGAAAAUGACUAACCGAUAAUUUCCAGAGAGACAUUAAUUUGUUUUGUAGGUUUCUAAAAAUUAACGACUAACUGUUUAUUUGAAAUUCAACCCAACGGUCAUUUGGACUAGUCGAAACUGCACAAGCACGCUCAAACUACAGAAACAGUUGUUGUAUCUACAAUUUUGAGUAUUAGAAACAAUUUCUAUUUCUAUACUUUUGCACAGCAAAAACAAUUGUUGUUUCUAUAGUUUAGAACAACAGAAAUAGUUGUUGUAUCUGCAUUUCAAAAUGGCAGGAACAAUUGUUGUUUCUACACUUUUGCACAACAAAAACAAUUGUUGUUUCUGCACUUUUGCACAACAAAAACAAUUGCUAUUUUUGCACUUUUGCACAACAGAAACAAUUGUUGUUUCUGUGCUUUUGCACAGCGAAAACAACUACACAAAUGUGCUUGCUGUUUUUGCACUUUUGGUAGUUUUGUAGUAGAAAAAACAACAAGCAUAUUCAUGCUAUUGUUUAUGCAGUUUAGAGCAUAAAACUGCAAGAACCGGCAACUGUUUCUGCAAUUUUGUAACUUUAGAACGGUGAGCACAUUUGCCCUACUUGAUUUCUUUGUCAAGGUUGAAAUGUUUAUGAAAUAUUUAUCUUAAGUUCUUUAUUUAUUAAAUGUUUUCUAUGAAAUGUUUAUCUUAAUUUCUUUAGAAUAGUAAGCACAUUAAACACAUUUGCCCUGCUUGAAAUGUUUAUCUUAGAACAAAAAACACAUUUGCCCUACUUGAUUUCUUUGUCAACUAUUUCUGCAGUUUAUGAAAUGUUUAUCUUAAUUUCUUUGUCAAGAUUGUUAGUAAGAUGUCGCCAAAUAAAUCUUAGAUGCAAUUGCCAAGGUCAACAAUGGCUUAUUACAACGAGUACCAUAUUUUCUUGAUUAUGCGUAUCAUCAUAUUCAAGAAGAGGAAAUGAAAAUAUUAUGUCCGUGUGUCAAAUGUAGUAAUAGGUAUAGAAGGACUCGAAGGGAAGUACACAAACAUCUUUUAGAGGAAGAGAUAAGGCGUGAUUAUACUACUUAGUAUUUCCAUGGAGAGAAUGGUGAUAGUGAUAGUGACACUGAUGGGGAUGUUGAUGAUGAGAAUGAAAAUUAUGAGAAUAUUCAGUAAAACGAGAUGUAUAAAUUGAUCCAAGAAGGUUUUUCCCAAGAUCCUAAUGAGGAGGCACAAAAGUUCUUUAAUUUGGUGAAAGAGGUUGAACAACUUUUAUAUCCAAAUUGCGAGAAGUACUCCAACUUAUCCUUUGUGGUCAAAUUGAUGCACAUUAAAUGUAUCAAUGGUUAGAGCAAUAAAUCUUUCAACAUGUUGUUGGAGCUAUUGGAAGAUGUGCUUCCAAUGUGUGAAAAGAUGCCUACUUCCAACUAUAAAGCAAAGAAAAUUGUAAAAAAUCUUAGUCUCCAUUAUGAGAAAAUCUGCAUGUAAAAAUGAUUGUGUCAUUUAUUACAAGGAAAAUACACACUAUCUCAAUGUCUGGUUUGUGGAGUUUCUAGAUCGAAGCCUAAAGGAAAGGGUGUUAAAGGAUCUACCAAAAGGGUUCCAUGGAAAAUCUUGCGCUACUUUCCUAUAAUGCCAAGACUUCAAAGGUUAUUCAUGUCAUCCAAAACUACUGCAGACAUGAGCUGCACUUUGAAAAUCGUGUGAAAGAUGGGUUGUUAAGGCAUCCUACAGAUUGUAAGGCUUUUGAUAAAACACGAGUCCUUUGCAUCUGAUUCACGAAAUGCAAGGUUGGGGUUGGCCAUUGAUGGGUUUAAUCCUUUUGGAAACAUGAAUAUCGGGCACAAUACUUGGCCGGUUCUUUUAUUUUCAUACAAUUUUCCUCCUUGGAUGUGUAUGAAAGAACCAUAUAUAUUUAUGUCAUUACUUAUCCCAGGACCGAAAGGCUUGAGAAAUUAUAUUGAUGUAUAUUUGAGGCAUUUAAUUGAUGAGUUGAAAAUAUUAUGGUAAAGUGGUGUAGAUAAAUAUGAUGUCUCAAAAAGCUAAAAUUUCCAAAUGAAAGCAGCUAUUAUGUGGACUGUUAAUGACUUUCUUGCAUAUGCUAAUAUGUCCGGUUGGAGUAUAAAUGGAAAGUUAGCAUGUCCAUGUUGCACUAAAGAGACCUUAUCUCGUAGGUUAAAAAGUGGUUCCAAAUGGUGUUAUCUGAGUAAUAGACGAUUUUUGCCUGAAGAUCACUUGUGGUAGGAUCAAAAGAUGCAAUUUGAUCGAAAAAUAGAUAAAAGAACUGCACCAAAGCGUCAAGAAAGUGAUGAAGUUUUAAAUGAACUUGAAGAUUUGAAACCUAUAACAUUUGGAAAGGCUGGAAAAAAAGCAAGUAAUUGUUGGUUUUGGGAAGAAACAUAACAUUUUUUUUCCAAUUGCCAUUUUGGAAAACAUUGUUGUUGCAUCAUUGUUUAGAUACUAUGCACAUUGAGAAAAAAUGUGUGUGAUAUUGUGCUUGGCACUAUCAUGAACAUUAAAGGAAAAAGUAAGAACUUUUUAAAUCCUCAGUUGGAUUUGAAAGAAAUGAGGAUAAGGCAGGAACUUCACCCAAUUGAGGUGGAUGAAAAAAUUGUGUUACCCCUUGCUUGUUAUACUUUGACAACUGAUGAAAAGAAAAAUAUCUUGCAGUGGUUGUCUGAUAUAAAAGUCCCGGAUGACUAUUCUGUUAAUUUGUCACGAUGGAUACUGAAGAGUGGCUUCUACCUCUUCAAAUAAUAUUAUACUAGUUUUGAUAACAUCAUUAUUGAAAAAAGAGAAGUAAUGUGACUACGUGAUUGGAAAAAUAGAGGGCAGUCAAAUUUGGUGAGAGGAUAAUUUAAUUAAAAUAAUAUAAACUUGUCUCUAUUUCUAAAAUUAUUUAGAGAAAGUUUUUUUUUUCAUUUUUUUUUUAUAAAUAAGCAUUUCAAGAGUAAAAAUUAGAUAAUCGUUUGUUGAUGUCCCAAGAGUUUCGAUUAAUUGAAAACUAGAUUAUACCCUUGGCCUCUCAUACCGGUUAAAGUCGUCACGUUAAAAAAAUUCUUUGUUUUACAACCAUACAUGACAUGAAAAUCUGCAUAAAGAGAUCAUUUCCUCAUAUAUAAAAUUAAAAGAUUUGUAAUUUUUUAUUGGAUUAUUCUUUUCCUCAUGAAAGAAACUUCAAAAUGUAUACAACUUCUUGAGGUUAGAUAAUUUCUGAUACAUUGCGCAUUCGUACAUCGGCAUCUCACCAAAAUAUAAUGUUCUUGCUUGCACAGAAAUAUUGCUCAGUAAUAUAUGUAUUUAAUGCUAAUAAAUAUCGAAAUCUCACCUUCUUAUUCUUGAAAUCCAAACUAUAAAUGCAAUUACUCGACACUUUUAUAGUUGUCAGAAAAAAAAAAAAAUUGACGCUCUAAUAAAUUCCAGUCAAUUGCAUAGCUAGACUAGAAAAUUCCUUCAUAAAUAGUGCCAGACAUCUUUCUGAUCAACGUUUUAAUUAUUAAUUUAAAUUGAUGGACCCAUUAUUUUUUUCUAUUUUUUUAUAAUUAAAAACGAAAGAAAAACAUAUUUCACAAUUGGGCUUUUCAUUAAUGCCUCAAUCAUUUUACCUAAUUAAAAAAAAAACUAAAUUUUGUCAUGUUCCUUUCAUUUGCGUUGUCUUCGCCACAGUGAUUGAGGCGUUAAUGAGGAGGCCAUAAUUAAAUUAGACUAAAUUUCUAUGGAGAGUAAUUUUUGGGCUCACAGUUGAUGCCACGGUGUUGACAUUCCCCUUAUAUGAAUAAUUUCAGCAACAUAUACUCAUAUUUUCUUCUUUUAAUGUCAUAAAUAUGUGAACUGAAAUAUAUAUAUCCUUAGAUUUUCUUGCAUUAGUGCCGUGGAUAUGUGACCAUAUAAAAUAUAGAAUCCCGGAUUUUCUUUCUUUAAUGUCAAAAAUAUGUGAAUUGGAAUUUAAAGAUUGAUGCCAUAAAUAUGUCACCAUAUAAGAAUGUAUAAAUAUGUGGCCAUACGAUACAAGAAAUGCGGAUAUCCCCAGAUUUUUCUCUGUUAACAUCAUAAAUAUGUGACCAUAUACGACAGUAUUGUUUUAAAAUACCACCACAUCUUCGCAAAAUUUGCACUAUUAAGUGUCAAUUGUAGAAAAUGUAUGAUUGAUAAGUACCUUAUCAUUUGCAGUAAAUACUGGCAACUAAACUUAAGACUCUAUUUGCCAUUUGGCACCAUAGUGUGAGGCUUUCAACAAACAAUUAUGGGAUUGGAUAAACUUAGACAUACAGAUCUUGGGCCCCAAUAGACCAUUGGGCUUGACUUGGGUCAAAACAUGAUUUUUGGGCAGCAGCAGCAUGCUAUAAGAAAAUGAUUUUUCAUUUUUUAAAUUUUAGUUGUAAAGUAAAUCGGUAUCAUCAAGACCAUCAAAUAAGUAUAGAUUAAAAAUUCAUAUAGUCCUCCUACAUAAACUAUAUUACAUGCCAAAAUGACAUGGUUUUUAGCUAAUACAGGUCAAUAUAUUCGGCCCCUUGAUCACUGCCUUUAUAGACACAGUAUUCACCAAAUCAUGUGGCUGAUUAUAAAUUUUAAAAAAAAUAUUCACUUUCGGUUAAUGAAUAUAUCAUUUAUCAAUAAAUAAACAACCCUCUAAAUUAAAAUAAAAAAUUUUCUUAUUCCGAGAUUGUUGUUCCUUAGAGAUUUUACAAUGCAUGCAUUGUUGUGAUCCAAUGUCCUUUCAUAUUUUGAAAUGUAAUGAUCCUAAAAGUAGAGUUUAAUAACUAAAAAUUUCAUAAGGUAACUUCAGUGACUGAAAAAGCGAUGAUGUAGCACAGGCCAAAGAUCUAGUGAUGAAGCUGCAACUAUAGGAGCGGUAUAUGGCUUGAUCAUUUCUGCUCACAGUAUAUUUGGCCUCCUGUAACAGUACUUAUAUAUGAGCCAAUGUUCCUGAGAAAAUCCCCAAUGAUCAAGCGCAACCAACCCAGAACUCCAAAUCCGAGAAUUGCUAAUUUGCUCUUAAUGUGACAUAUGCAUCCCCCUCGACUUCUGUUUGGUUUCCAAUUUUUCCUCCAUUCUCUGCAAACAUGACCAAAGGAGAGAAAGUCUGCAAAGGGGAGAUAACUGGAGAUAAUCUUCAGAAGUUGUUUUGGAAGAUCAUCAGGGGGUCUCCAUUAAGAGCGGCCUUUAUGUGCUUCUUCCUCGUCCUGCCAGCGCGCUUAUUAGAUUCAUCAUUGUUCAAUCUUUACCAGCUAACGCCUGCAUUUUGUAUUUUUAAAAAAAAAUAUAUUAAAAACUAGGUAAAAAUAUAUAUGGUUAUAAGACGUAAAUUAGUGAGAAAUAAUACUAGUUCAAAAUACAAAUGAAAAAGAUUUAAAAGGAGGUUCGAACAUACAUGAGCAUGAGGUGGAUGGGAUAAAAAAUCUGGUAAAUUGCUGAUUCGAUUAUCGCAAGAGUUGUAAGAUAAAUUGUUGCUUUCUCUCAUUGUUAGAAUAUUUCUUGAGAUUGAUGGGUUUUUUGCUCAUAGUAUGACACACUUAUCUUUACUGAUAAAUGUGAAAUUUGCCAGAGACCAGAGUACAUGGUAAUAAUUUUGAGACCGUGUCCAUAUGAGUAGGGCUUUUCUAGACUUUUGUGUAUUUAUUAUCCACAAGAGUAAGAAAAUUCACUGAAGAAUAAGAAAAAUAAGAGAAAAANNNNNNNNNNNNNNNNNNNNNNNNNNNNNNNNNNNNNNNNNNNNNNNNNNNNNNNNNNNNNNNNNNNNNNNNNNNNNNNNNNNNNNNNNNNNNNNNNNNNAGCAUUUUUCCUUAAGGAUUAUGAGAGUAGAAGGGACACCAAACAUGAAUUUAUAUUGAAUUUUAAGGCUAAUGUCAUCAAUACAUUACUAUAACAAGUUCAUCUUCUCAGAUUUUCUUCUUUAAAAGGAAUCUUUACUUAAAAUUCAAUUUUAUAAAAAGAAAAUUUGAGAAGAUGAACAUGUUAUGGUAACAUAUUUAUAACUUUAUUAUUGAGCCUAAUGGCUAUAGAAGUCUCCAGCCAGAAUUAACUCAAAAGUUACUCAAGAGUUGAUAGUUAUUCAAAAUUUAUAUACUUAACUCAAAUUCAAUACCUAGUUAAUGAGAGAUAUUUUCUUUAACACCCCAUCACGUACAUGUUGGUGUGGGCUCACUCGUGCAUCAGUUUUACCUCUUAUAACAUAUAGAAGUCCAUGAGCCUAACUUAACACAAGAAUUAGCUUAAGAGUUGAGGGUUGUCCAAGUCUUAUAUAUUUAAACUAAGUUCAAUAAUCAGUUUUACCUCUUAUAACAUAUAGAAGUCUAUGGGCCUAACUUAACACAAGAACUAGCUUAAGAGUUGAGGGUUGUCCAAGUCUUAUAUAUUUAAACUAAGUUCAAUAAUCAAUUGAUGUGAGAUAUUUUUCUUAACACCUCUCGUCAUGUGCAGACCGGUCUUUUUUAUUGAUCUUUGCCACAUGAUAAGAUAGUGUGGGCCUGCUCGUGCAGGAGUGUUAGCUCUGAUAUCAUUUAGAAGUUUAUGGGCCUAACUCAACCUAAAAAUUAGCUCAAGAAUUUAGGGCUAUCGAAGUCUUAUAUAGUUAUUGCAAAUUUAAUACUUAGUCAAUGUGGGAUUUUUCCCCUGGCAAUGGCAUCACAAUCCCCCUCCCCUCCGAUGUCAGUGAGGUGUGCAAUCUAGUUGAAAUGUUUGCGGCUUGGGGUGAGGUGUGCAAUCUAGUGGACAUAGUGGGUGCAAUCUAGUUGAGAUGAUAAAAUGUGAUACGCAUGGUCUGGUUUCAUGGCGAGUUUCAUACAGGUAGGAUCGAAAUGUUUGCGGCUUGGGGUACAUUAGUUUUAUAAAGUGACUUGAGUAACUGAUUAACAGGAUAAUGUAGCAUGCGACAUUGAACAAAUGUAUAAGAUGUCAGCAUCGUCUACUGAUUUUGCAAUAUUCAGUUUAAUUUUUAAAUAUUAUUCAGCGAUGAAGUGUCCUAAUAGGUGUCCAAAUAGGCAAAAUCAAAAUGCUGUCGUUUUGAUUUUAGAUAUUCGGGAAUCCAAUUCGGGCACUUUUUAAAGCAAAUUAACAUUUUCUUUGUGAGAUAUGGAUAGCUUUGACAAAUCUAUUUAACGGAAUAAAUUUUGUUUCUUUACAAAAAAAAAAAAUCCAAAUAGAAUCAAAUUAAACAAAUCCAUUUUGUUUAUCUCAAUGUUCAAUUUUAAUAAUUUAUGAGUCGCGGGCUUAUUUGAUUUUUUUUUCUUUUAAGAAUAUUAUAUAAAUGUAUACUAGUUUUUGUUGAUUUUGAUUUUAGUGAGUCAAUUGACAAAAUCUCUUAUGUGACUGUAAGAGGAUCACCAAAAAAAUUUUCAAAUUAGUUUUUUCAAAUGAGAUUGCCCUUCUCUUUCUUUAAUAUUAAAAAGUGAUUUUUCCUUCUCUAAAUAAUUUUAUACUGUUUUUGAAAACAUCAUUAUUGAGAAGGGAGAAGUACUAUAACUACAUUAUUGUAAAAAUAGAGGGUAGUUAAAUUUGGUGAGAGAAUAAUUUGUUUAAAUGACAUAAAUUUAUUUUUAUUUGAAGUAAAAUUCUAUAAUGUCGUAAUGAAAGAUACGGCAUCAAUACCAUGAUAGAUAUAAAUAUUGUAAAUUAUACAUAAAACUGGUAAAUUCAUACAAAAUUAUUAAUUAUUUAAAAAAUUAACAUUGUUUCUAUAGAAUUUUAGUGAAAAACAUUUUAUUCAUUUACCAAAAAAAAUUUCUUUAAUUAAACAGAGCAAGAAUUACUCAUUAAUUAAACAAAAAAUUCUACUAAAAAAGUGAAAUAAGUUUUAUUGAAUUGGUUUAACUAUAAAUUCUAUAUUUAUUUUAGGACAUUUGUAUACCUUUUUUUUGUAUUUUCUAUAAUAUUAUCUAUUUAUUGCACAAGUUAAUUAAGCACAAUUAUUUAUCUUGAUAUGGAUCAAGCAAAAAUAAAAUAAAAUAAAUAUUCUUAUAUUACUACACACAUAUAUAUGAUAUAUCAAUAAAAUUAGAUAUAAUUUUGAGUAUUAUGCAUAGUUCACGUACUUUCAAAUUUUUUACCUGUACUUAUAGACCAUUUAGACUUUUUGUUAAGGAAGGAUAGAAAGAUGUAAAAUAACCUCAUCUUACAACAACUAUAAAAAAUAUUAAAAUAAUAUUUUUUUCAAAAUUCAAUUUUGAGAAUAAAUUUCAUCCUUAGCGAAACAUCACAUGUAUUACAUAAAUACAAAACUAGCAUUAUUCAAUUUAAAUUAAAAACAAUUUAAAUUAAAAAAUCAAAGGUAAUAAACAUUAUAAUGAGUUUUUAUUUUACAAUUGUGAUUUUUUUUUGGUAGUAACUCUUAUAUUUUAAUUUAUUUAUUUUACCUUUUGUUGGGUUUGCGAAAAUUUUUCCAUUUUUCAAUAAUUAAUUUACAAUACCGAUAAUGGCUUCCCAAUGUUGAAAACUAGGGGACUAGUGUUUGGGUUGGAUUUUUUUAAAGAAAUAUAGUUUACCCUAAUCCACUCGAAACCGAUUGUCGUUGAGCUGACCUCAUAAGUACAACCAUGGGCCUUUGUUGGUGAACUAAUUCAUGAGUAUAAUCGGGAGCCUAUGUUGGUGACCAAAUCUAUAAGUACAACCUGGAGCCUACAUAGACGACCUGGUUUAUAACUUGAAGCUUAUGCGGAUGAUUUGGUUUACAAAUGCAACCCUAAGUCUAUAUGAGCAACAUGAAAAUUCAUCAAUCCGAUCUGGAAAUGAAAUAGUUCAACCUGAAAACUCGUUUGUCCGACCUGAAGAUGUGCUAGCUUGACACGAGUAAUUAUUUUUUGGGAUCAUGUAGCCUAUAUUUUAGGGAAGUUACAUACCACAACUUGUUAAACCGCUUUCAAUUGACAAUUAGCUGCAACUACUCAAGAGAGUGUGAUAGAACUAAUGAGGUAACCACCCACAACCGAGAGUUUAUUUAAGCUGAAAAGAGCAUAACAUGAGGGGUUAGCAAAAUUAACUAAAAACUCUAUCAGUGACUAAUCUUUAAACCUUCUUAUUUUCUAUGAGAUUCACAACACCACUACUCAAGAAUUCCUUGAUUUUAACUCACCUUCAGUUCCUCCUUUUCAUUUUCCUUUUUCUUAUAUACAAAACAUCUUACUUAAGCAUAGGAGGAUUUUCUCAGGAACCCCUACCGGCGUGUAAUAACAGUGUUAUGUAGUUGGCAGGUAUAUGAAGUUGCGGUCGUGCUAUACUUUGAGCUUGGAUUCGUGCUGUUGUUCCCCAGAAAAUAAAUUCAACUAUUGAGGUCUUUUUUUGGCAUCAACACCUUUAACAAUCUACAAAAUUUAUGUUUUAUUUUUCAUAUAGUGUUGAUUUACUUGUUUUAUAUUAUAUUUAUAAGUUUUCGUUUUAUUUAUCAUUAAUACAUCAAGUUACUAGCUUUAUGGUAAUGUACUUAUUUUAUCUUUCCUUUUUGUAAGUCUUAUGUUCUAUUUCCAAAAUUUAUAUUUUAUUUUACAGUUAGUGUUGAUUUACUAAUUUUAUAUUAUAUUUACAAAUUUUUGUUUUGUUUACCAUUAAUACAUUAAUUUACUAGUUUUAUAUUAAUUUACUUUUUUUACCUUUCAUUUACAAGUCUCAUGUUCCAUUUCUAAAAUUUAUGUUUUAUUUUGUAUUUAAUGUUGAUCUACUAGUCUUAUGUUAUAUUUCUAAGUUUUUGUUUUAUCUACUAAAAAUACAUCAAUUUACUAACUUUAUAGAAAUUUACUUGUUUUACCUUUUCUUUACAAGUCGUUUUUUUAUUUCCAAAAUUUAUGUUUUAUUUUACAGUUAAUGUUGAUUUACUAGUUUUAAGUUAUAGUUGCAAGUUUGUGUUUUGUUUACUAAUAAUACAUCAAUUUACUAGUUUUCUAUUAAUUUACUUAUUUUAUCUUUCAUUUACAAAUAUGAUGUUUAAUUUCUAAAAAUUAUGUUUUAUUUUACACUUAAUGUUAAUUUAUAAGUUUUAUGUUAUAUUUGCAAGUUUUUGUUUUAUUUACUAAUAAUAUAUCAAUUUAUCAGUUUUAUAUUAAUUUACUCGUUUUACCUUCCAUUUACAAGUCUUAUGUUUAAUUUCUAAAAUUUAUGUUUUGUUUACAUAAUUUAUAUUUAAUUAUAGUAUUAAUACUGUAAAUUUAAUUACGACAUCAUAGAAUGACCCAUACAUACUCUAAUAUGGAUAUUAUGAUUAAAACACUACUGAUAUUUACAAUAAAAAUUUAAUUGGACUAAUAUAGGAAGGAUAUAUUGUUCAACUAUAUUAAUAACGAGAGAGAUGUCUACCUCUACUAAUUAUAAUUGAGAAAGGAAAUUAUUGAGUCCUCUUAGAGGGACUCGAACCAUUGCCCUCACUAAUGUGCGGACAAUAUCUCACAACUCAACCUUUAGCCAAGUUGCAAUAUGUUUUUUUUACACAUUAUAAGUACAUUUCCUUGCCAAACGAACAUCUUAUUAUCUUUUCGUCGAAAAGUGAGUCACUUCGUCAUUCAUUCUCUGGUCAAAAUCUCUAUUUUACGUUUUAUUCUAUUUUGUUAUCUAUUAGUUCUAAAUCUUUAUAAAGAUAUAAACUGGCCGUAAAUUUUCUUUUAUUGAAAUUUUCUUCUCCCCUAAUUUGGUGGUUGGGAGUUUAUAGCUUGUUAAAUAUAUUUUUGGUGAUUAUUUCAAGAUCUGAAGCUUUUACAUCUCAGAUCUAAGAACUUGUCCUUUUUUUCGCGGUUUGUAUGUCUUGGUGGUGCACUUUUACUACAUUUUAAGUUAUUAGAUUCCAGAUCUAGAAAAUCACGGGGUUGAUCUACUUAAAUGAUGCGACUAGCAAUCAGAAUGAUCAAUAAUAAUGGUCGGAAAUAUUUUGAUGAGCACAAGAGACAUCUCUGGCGGUGCGCAAGUUGUUAUGUGCACAUCUUGGGUGGAUCCUUUCAAUUCUAAUCCCAAUGCAUAAAAUCUUUAACCGGAUGUCGGUAAGCUUACAAUUAAUUGUUUUUUUUCAUUUAAUUGGAUAUUAUUAAAAAUCUUUCUUUGACUGUCAUUAUCGUUAUCCUCGUCAUCGUUAUUAUCAUUAUUUUUGCUUUUGUUUUUAUAUUUAACUGUGAAAUAAAAUUGGGCUUGUAGGCCAUUGGUAAUUCAUGCGUCCAAUAACCUUGGGCGCAUGAGUUUGAAUCUCAUAACUCGACUCUCCUUUUAUAAGGGUUUAUUUGACUCUCCAUUUUAAGGGUAUAAUAUAUUUCUCUCCCAUGUUAAAGUGAGAGUUGUUGUUCGAGUUGUGAUAUCUUAAAAUUACAAAAGAGAGUUCCAAUUGAUGUUUGGUUGUAAAAAUAUCAGUAGAGUUAUAAUUGUAAUAUAUCAGUAUAUUAAAAAAAAGUUAUUAUCAUUUCACUACUUUAAAAAUUACCAAAUAUCAAAUGACUACAACAAGUAUUAUCUCCUAUUAUUUUCUUACUAUAUCUUUAUAAAAAUAUCAUUUUACUACUUUUCCGUUAUAACUAUUAGUUGACCAGUUAGUUAACUAACAAAAUACCAAUUUCAUCUUUCAUGAUUAAAAAAAUAAUACUUGAAACUUAUUUACAAAUUUAUAUAUUUAUUAAAAUAGAUAUAUAAUACCAACAUAAUUCUUUUGUUGGAAUUAUGAUAUAUGGAUUGUAAAUUUGUCUUAUUAUUAUUUUUAAUUAUGAAGGGUAAAAUUGAUAUUUUAUUAGUCAACUAACUGGUCAACUAAGGGACAACUAACAGUUGUAACGGAAAAGUAGUAAAAUAAUAUUUGUUUUAACGGCAAAGUAGUAAAAUGAUAUUUUUAUAAAGAUAUAGUAGGAAAAUAAUAGGAGACAAUACUUGUUGUAGUAAUUUGAUAUUUAGCAAUUUUUAAAGUAGUAAAAUGAUAAUAACCCUAAAAAAAAUUGUGUAACAAAAUUAUAAAAAAUCAUAAAUAUGUCAUUAAGCAUAUUAAUGGCUAAUCUCUAGUAAAUUGCGUAUAAAUUGAAACAUAAAUUUGACAUUAAGCACUCAGCAGGUUGUCAGAUAUCGAGGAAGAACAUUACAAAAAUAGUUGAGCUAGACACAGGAGAGUAGGAGCGCGUACAUAUAUACAUGAAAAUACUUCGCUGUUCGGCCUGUUCCAAUAUCUAGUAAAUUGCAAAUUUCUCAUGACUCUUAGAAUUACUUGGAUAAAUUAUUGCUUCUCUAACUAUUGGAAUUUUUUUUUAGAUUGAUGUUUUUAUUCACAUAACAGGACACACUAAUCUUUAUUGAUAAAUUUGAAAUUUGAUGGAGCACAUGGCAAUACUUCUAAUACUAUAUUAAUUUUAUUUUAUAGCUUAUUUUUCGGAGCACAUGGCAGUACUUCUAAUACUAUAUUCAUUUUAUUUUAUAGAUUAU